GAUCUACUCAACCCCAAAUGGUUUCCUUUGGUUUAUAUCAUGAUUUAAAGUGCUACUUAAAUUUAUUUUUCUAAAUUGCCACAUAAAUAAAAUCUGGAAUUCAUUCAGAUUUACUAAAAUAUUGUCAAUUUAAACGCAAGGAGAAUUAUUAUAAUUUUUUUUAAUGUUUUCCUUCUUGAUGCUCAGGUAGAUAUGUAAAAGACAUACCUGAAUUCAACUGAAGAAAUGAACUGAUAUCGGGUGCUGGAUUCAUCCCAAAGGCAUUGUAUCAGUGCCCAAGAGCCAAACUUCAGACCCAAAAAAUGAUAUAGAAUUAUCACAAAAUUUCUCGUACCAUCGUUAUUUUCUCCUUUUUUGCCGAAACGCUGUAAAUUAAUUUUAAAAAAAUGAAUAUAGCAACCAGAAGAGAAUCAAAAGUAGGCAUUCAGAAUGAGUAGGAGAUUAGAUAUUCCUGUCAUGAAUUAAUCGGAAUAAAUUCAGUUUAUCGUCAUUACGCCGGCUGCAUCUACGUUUAAACCAAAAUCAUAAAAAGAAUUAAGAAAUUUAAAAUAACUAUAGUAAUUAAGAGAAAUAAUUUAAAUGGAAAAACUUUAUCGACACAAAUAUGAAGAAACCAUCAGAGAAAUUGGAUUAUAACUGCAUCAAUGGCGACAAGAAAUCUUGUCUCAGACGACCGUCGUGAGAUUUUAAAUCCUAAUUCAUCAUUUGGCUUCGAACAUUUAAACAAAAAUUGGAAAACAAAAAGCGAUUAAAUUUUUUUUUGCCCAUUCCUAAAUUUGGGUUCAAACGUUCAGUUAUCGAAAACUGGAAAAG
rnacentral:lncRNA from 1 species